GGGCGGAGCUAGGACGCGUGUUCGUAGCCCCGUUUAAGCAGGAUUGGCUCGGUUAGCCCAGACGUACCCGAUGAGACACGGUGCAGGCUGGUUCCUCUGCCUUGGGUGUCCUGGGAGUGGGCAGCGCCUGGAGCAAAGCGUUCCUGACAUAAGGGGCUGGGGAGAGAAGCUGCAAAUGUGGUCUUGAGGGUCUUCCCAUCCACACCGGUGGAGUGGCUUAGCCAGGUGAGGAGGAGGCUGAAGAGGGCAAGGAAAGAUAUGUCCUAGGAGAUCCUGCAAGCCUCUGGUGCUUUGGAUACCAAGCAGAGGGCUUGGAGGAUUACACUUGAGGACAGAAUGGACAGGGAUAGUGAGGACAGGAAAAACAGACAGCGAGAGAUGAUAGUACUUCUUAGGGAGCAGACAGACCUGCUGUGGUCUCUGACUGACCUUCAAGCUCAAUAGGUCCAUGCUCGCCUCCCCCUGCAGCCAAUAGAGAACUGCAUUUUGGCACUUCUCUACACGCCCUCCUCCCCAAUCCACAUGGCAUCUGAGGCCUAGUGUUUGUGAAAUGGAAGUGAGUGUUCUUUCCCUUUCAAAGGUUCUUGUCCCUGUAUUUAUAAAGUUUUGUUCUGCUUUAAAUAUGUCUAUCUGCAUGGGUUCAGAAUAAAAGUCUAUUUAUGGAAA